rnacentral:misc_RNA from 1 species
GUCAAAAACCUAUAAAAAAUGGAACCGAAGUAGAGAAUUAGUUUGAAAUUAGUGCUUCAACGAUUUCUUCUUCUUCUUCCUCAAUCGUGGUUACCCCAUUUUUAGGGGAUUCUUGAAGUUGAACUAUGAUUUACACGGCAAUAGACACAUUCUAUCUAGCAGAGGAGCAGCUUGUAGAAUCUCCUUCUAGGAAAGAUGGAAUCGAUGAUGUUACAGAAACAGCGCUUCGAAUCUAUGGUUGUGAUCUCGUUCAAGAAUGUGGGAUUUUGCUCAGAUUACCUCAAGCUGUAAUGGCCACUGGCCAAGUGUUAUUUCAUCGCUUUUACUGCAAGAAAUCAUUUGCCCGUUUUAAUGUGAAGAGGGUUGCUGCUAGUUGUGUUUGGCUUGCAUCAAAACUUGAAGAAAGUCCGAG